CAAUAAUAACAGUUGAGAAUUACGAACCCAAGAGAUCCAGAUUUUCCAGAUUAUCCCCAAAUCUUCUCCUCUGUUAGUUCCUUUCAUUUCUUCGCCCGGUUUCCCAAAUCCUUUGCGUUUCGAACCAGAGUUAUACUCGAAGAGGAAGCCCCCAAAAUAAUGCCCUUGAAAACAAUGAUAGAGGUUGAACCACCGAAUCCGUUAAGAUAUAUCAUCGGAGUAGCUAUCAUGAUGAUCGGAGUCGUAUUGCCCGUCGGAUACAUGAUGUUCCGUAACAAACGCGUCCCUUCCUCUUCCUCUUCCUCUUCCUCUUCCUCUUCCUCUUAUUCCAAACAGACGUAGGUGUGCCUUUACUAAAAUGCUACAUUUCCAUUUCCUUCAACGAGAUUAUAAUUUUCCCCUUCUUAAUUUGAAUUGCGUGUUUUCAAAUUAGAUCCAGAGUUAAUUGAGGUCCGUUACAUAACCUCUCAGUUAAUUUUUGAGAUUUAAUAUAUUUAAUCAACUGAAUUUAUACAAAUUUGGACUUUGGUUGGAUCGAAGAAUAUUUUAUUUACAUGACAAACUGGUAUUCACAUUUGGUGUUGGCAUUUCAGGAACAAAGUUUUAAUAUAGAGAUAUUGAUUGAAGAGAGACAUUUUUUCACGCAAAAUUGGUGUUUUAAAUUUCAAGGACGAUGAGGGCUGUAUUGAAAGAAGGCCUUGAUUGACAUGCACAUACAAAAAAUGUUAAUGACUUAUAAAACCCUCGGUCCUAUUUUAUGUUAGUUGUUUGGGUAUUGAUUGAAGUUUAAAAAAUGAAAUGUGUUGUUUUGUUCAAUUUAUGGGUUUUGAUUAGGUUUCCAAUUUAGCACCAUCAUGUAUCAAUUCUAUGAUAUUGGUUGUUUUGCUAC